ACGGGAGGCAGCAGUGGGGAAUAUUGGGCAAUGGGCGCAAGCCUGACCCAGCGACGCCGCGUGAGGGAAGAAGGUCUUCGGAUUGUAAACCUCUUUCAGCAGGGAAGACAGAAGACGGUACCUGCAGAAGAAGUCACGGCUAACUACGUGCCAGCAGCCGCGGUAAUACGUAGGUGGCGAGCGUUAUCCGGAAUUACUGGGUGUAAAGGGUGUGUAGGCGGAGAGGCAAGUCAGGCGUGAAAUGCGUGGGCUCAACCCACGAAUUGCGCUUGAAACUGUUUCCCUUGAGAGUGGGAGAGGUUAACGGAAUUCCUGGUGUAGUAGUGAAAUGCGUAGAUAUCAGGAGGAACACCAGUGGCGAAGGCGGCUUACUGGACGAUAACUGACGUUGAGGCUCGAAAGCGUGGGGAGCAAACAGGAUUAGAUACCCUGGUA
rnacentral:rRNA from 1 species